ensembl:snRNA U6 U6 spliceosomal RNA
UCGCUACGGCAGCACAUAUACUAAAAUUGGAUCGAAGAUUAGCAUGGCCCCUGCGAAAGGAUGGCAGCAAAUCUGUGAAGCGCUCCAUAUUUGG